CCAGGGGGUGGAGUCCGUCAAAGAGGUGUGUGCAAAGCACUGUGGGGGCCGGAGGUGGAAGUGUCCGAUGCUGGGAGCAGCGGGAGUGGAGGCGGCUGUGGCCAGUCAAGGCUCACAGAUGGGCCAGAUCUGAAUGAACAGGCAGGAGGAGUCUGCACCUGUAGGGGGUCAGGUGCGGACGUCCCAAGUAGAGAGGACAGCCUGCGCAAGAUACUGCAGGUGGGAAAAUCCCGGCAUGAUCAGGAAAUUGCGUGUCAUUCUAUACAGCGCCACCAAGGAUGUGUGGAGAACAGGUAUGAUGUAUAUCAGAGCAGCACAAACCACAGGACUGAAGAUUAUUAGCCCUUGUACCCCCGGGAAUGCUUACCUUGCCUUCCUGGGCAGGGUCCCUGAUGGGCCCUUGGUAGGGCGCCAUGGACUCCCAAGUGACAACCACCACACUACCGGGCUGGAAAGAGACCUCUGGGAACCCUCUCUGGACACACUCUGCUGCCAGCUGAGUGACAGAUGGAGAUAAGUCUUCCCGCGCCCACUCCCAGAACACUAUCGCAGAACACAACAGAAUCUGGCAAAGACACAAGCCUGAAUCGAAAACCGCAGCAUUGUUUUUCCAGGGGCUGCAGAUUGGAAGCUAAUCUAAAACAGCGACUCUCGGCUCAGCGCCUGUGGCUCAAGUGGCUAAGGCACCAGCCACAUACAACUAAGGUGGCGGGUUCAAAUCCAGCCUGGGCCCACCAAACAACAAUGA